GAGGUGCUGGUCUCUGGUUAGAUGCCAACUGUGUCACCAAACUCACACGAGAAUCAAGCUUGCUUUCCAAUUUUCUACCAGCAACUAAUGAAGAAUGGGCAGGCUCAUGAAACUGCCACUAUUGUGGUUCCUGAACAGGUGUAGAAGGCAUACAAGAAUUCAGAAAUGGUUGAUAUUGCUGUAGAGCAUUAUACCAUCCCAAGCUAGGGUCAUCCAAUCCAGGAUCGUUACUAUGACCACACU
rnacentral:lncRNA from 1 species